ACCUAUAGAGGCAAUGACGAGGAGCAGUGGAUAUAAUACAAAUUGAUACAUUCAAGUACGGCUACAUAAUCAUGGACAGGAUAUGACGAUAGAUCAAAUAAACAGAGUGUGUCCGGAUUUGACCUGGAUUUGCAUGGCGGGCGUCAUCGAGGAGCAGAGUUAGAGGCUUACACUCCCGGAACACCUGGUUAGGACUACGCGGUUUCGUUUAGGACAAGCAGAGGAACCGAUAAAGAUGCAGCAUCUCUUAUGAUAAUAUAUAUAGAUCAAGGUGGCCUAAUUUUGCAAAAUUAAAAUCAAUAUCUAUUGGUCA